rnacentral:rRNA from 1 species
CUCGUGAAUUCAUCUCCGGGGGUAGAGCACUGUUUCGGCUAGGGGGCCAUCCCGGCUUACCAACCCGAUGCAAACUGCGAAUACCGGAGAAUGUUAUCACGGGAGACACACGGCGGGUGCUAACGUCCGUCGUGAAGAGGGAAACAACCCAGACCGCCAGCUAAGGUCCCAAAGUCAUGGUUAAGUGGGAAACGAUGUGGGAAGGCCCAGACAGCCAGGAUGUUGGCUUAGAAGCAGCCAUCAUUUAAAGAAAGCGUAAUAGCUCACUGGUCGAGUCGGCCUGCGCGGAAGAUGUAACGGGGCUAAACCAUGCACCGAAGCUGCGGCAGCGACACUGUGUGUUGUUGGGUAGGGGAGCGUUCUGUAAGCCUGUGAAGGUGUGUCGUGAGGCAUGCUGGAGGUAUCAGAAGUGCGAAUGCUGACAUAAGUAACGAUAAAGCGGGUGAAAAGCCCGCUCGCCGGAAGACCAAGGGUUCCUGUCCAACGUUAAUCGGGGCAGGGUGAGUCGACCCCUAAGGCGAGGCCGAAAGGCGUAGUCGAUGGGAAACGGGUUAAUAUUCCCGUACUUGGUGUUACUGCGAAGGGGGGACGGAGAAGGCUAUGUUGGCCGGGCGACGGUUGUCCCGGUUUAAGCGUGUAGGUGUGUGUUCCAGGUAAAUCCGGUUCACUUUAACACUGAGGCGUGACGACGAGGCACUACGGUGCUGAAGCAACAAAUGCCCUGCUUCCAGGAAAAGCCUCUAAGCAUCAGGUAACAUCAAAUCGUACCCCAAACCGACACAGGUGGUCAGGUAGAGAAUACCAAGGCGCUUGAGAGAACUCGGGUGAAGGAACUAGGCAAAAUGGUGCCGUAACUUCGGGAGAAGGCACGCUGACACGUAGGUGAAGUGAUUUACUCAUGGAGCUGAAGUCAGUCGAAGAUACCAGCUGGCUGCAACUGUUUAUUAAAAACACAGCACUGUGCAAACACGAAAGUGGACGUAUACGGUGUGACGCCUGCCCGGUGCCGGAAGGUUAAUUGAUGGGGUCAGCGCAAGCGAAGCUCCUGAUCGAAGCCCCGGUAAACGGCGGCCGUAACUAUAACGGUCCUAAGGUAGCGAAAUUCCUUGUCGGGUAAGUUCCGACCUGCACGAAUGGCGUAAUGAUGGCCAGGCUGUCUCCACCCGAGACUCAGUGAAAUUGAACUCGCUGUGAAGAUGCAGUGUACCCGCGGCAAGACGGAAAGACCCCGUGAACCUUUACUAUAGCUUGACACUGAACAUUGAGCCUUGAUGUGUAGGAUAGGUGGGAGGCUUUGAAGUGUGGACGCCAGUCUGCAUGGAGCCGACCUUGAAAUACCACCCUUUAAUGUUUGAUGUUCUAACGUGGACCCGUUACCCGGGUUGCGGACAGUGUCUGGUGGGUAGUUUGACUGGGGCGGUCUCCUCCUAAAGAGUAACGGAGGAGCACG